UGAAGACGGUGCUUGUGAAGCCAUUGUUAUUUACUUCCAACUUCAUGUGACUGAACUUCAUCAAUCAAAGUAAUACCGAGUGACAACAAAAUUAUAACAUGGGAUGACAAACUUCCACACAUAAAGAAACUCACAGGUUGCAAAAGAAUUCAAAACACAAGCUAUACAAGCACCGUCUUCAUGAUAUAGACUAUAGCAGAAAGUGGUAAUAACACAAAAAAGUAUAGGUAAAUCAUUAUCAUUGAAACUAGUGACAUUUGAAGCCACCACAAACGGACAGUACUAUGAUGAGAAUCAAGGCAAUCAAGA
rnacentral:misc_RNA from 1 species